CAGUGGCGGAAGUGGACUCCACCUUCUAAUACCUGAAUAGGUCCUUCAUAUCCAACUCCACUCUCUAAGCAGUACAUGGUUCACUAUAAACACGUCAGUCAGAAGGGACUCGUCUACACUGAGAAGACAUUAUCUUGCUAAUAGCAUCUAAGAAAGGAUUUUUUGGAACCCAGUUUGGCCUUGAACUCACUAUACAUCCAAGGCUGGGCAUGAACUCCUGAUCUUCCUGCCUCCACCUUCCAAGUGCUGGAAUUACAGACAUUGGUCACCGUGCCCAGUUUGCUUGUUAGCAUUUGAGUGAAUAAUGGAGUGAAUGAAUUGCAUAAGGGAACCAACAAGUCAGUGAACUUCCUUCCAGUCUGGAAGAAUUAACUCAAUCAAGGAAGGAAAGUUUAGCUUAUAUCAGGAAGAAGGAAUUUUAAUUUCAUUCAUUCAUCACCUCUUCACCAGUCAUACAACCUAAGGAAGAGUAAUCUGCAAGGUUUCCAUGACAACCUUGCUCCAAGGAUGCUUUCUGGAACAUCCUUCCAAGAACAUAUUCCAAUCCCAAUCUUGCUUUACAAUGAAUGUCUAAUUGAACUGAAAUGAAUCAUUACUAAGACAAAUACUUAAUGUUUUCAUCAUUUCAUUUUUCCUGUGAACUUUAUUUUUGUUUAAUUUUCCAAAAUUGUGUAUGAUCCAGCAAUAGUGUUGCCAUUCUCUGUAUUCUCAACUAUUAGACUAUGUGUUCCACAAAGAACAGGACAUUUACUUGUUUCAUUCAGUUAUAUGUUACAAUCACCCUGAACAUUGGCAAACAAUGACCACUAAAUAACAUUCCUUUCAUUUGUCAAUUCUCCAUCUACCUAAGUUAAAUACAAUGUAGCCCUUGACGCUGUUGUUGUGAUUCUUUGCCUACUGUCACUCCUUGUUACAAAACUAGAUACUGCAUUUUCCAAAAAAUGUAUUCCAUAUUCAAAGGCCCUGUCUGGAAAGAACACUGUAAAGUGUCAAGUGAAAUUAUUUAGUCAUGCUUUGGAUUGUUAUUUGGGUGUCCUUUGGGACACACUGCAAGACUACCACUGAGUGCUGGAGCUGAAGGGUGUCAAGUUACUACAAUUCAUCAAAUGCAAGACAAAAUUUCUGAAGAUACGUCUGGAGUUGCUCAGACAUUCACCAUGACCAUGAGAGUUGAUGCCAUAAGUCCCUGCACUUACAAGCAGGCUCCAGAAUUUGAUGAAGAGAGGAAACAUAGGUCAAGCUCUUCAUCUGUCCAACUUUAAAAGUCUAUCUACAUUAGCCAUCCAUUGGUACAAUAUAGCUUCCAAGUCUGCAAAUUGUAUUUGGCACCCACAUGAAAAUCAGUUGAGUAAGAGAUGUGUGAGGAAAUGUUAUUAUUUUUUAGUUGUGGCAAAAUAGAUAGCAUAAAAUAUAGUAUAUUAGCCAUUAAAUAUACAACUCAAAGGUAUUAAAUAUGUUCAUUUUGCUGUACAACAACAACAAAAAAAAACCUUUUUGUGUGGU